GAUGAACGCUAGCUACAGGCUUAACACAUGCAAGUCGAACGGAGUGGCGCACGGGUGAGUAAUAUAUAGCUAAUCUGCCCCUUGCUGGAGGACAACAGUUAGAAAUGACUGCUAAUACCCCAUAGAAAGGGAUGAGACUAUAUCGUAUCAGCUAGUCGGUGGGGUAACGGCCUACCGAGGCUAUGACGCGUAACUGGUCUGAGAGGAUGAUCAGUCACAUUGGAACUGAGACACGGUCCAAACUCCUACGGGAAGCAGCAGUAGGGAGUAUUGCGCAAGGGGGGAAACCCUGACGCGGCAACGCCGCGUGGAGGAUGACACUUUUCGAAGCGUAAACUCCUUUUGUUAGGGAAGCGGUACCUAACGAAUAAGCACCGGCUAACUCCGUGCCAGCAGCCGCGGUAAUAC
rnacentral:rRNA from 1 species